ACGAACGCUGGCGGCGUGCUUCACCCCUGCCAGUCGCACGGAAAGGCCCUGCUUGCAGGGUACUCGAGUGGCGAACGGGUGAGUAACACGUGGGUGAUCUGCCCUGCACUUCGGGAUAAGCCUGGGAAACUGGGUCUAAUACCGGAUAGGAGCCAUUUUUAGUGUGAUGGUUGGAAAGUUUUUUCGGUGUAGGAUGAGCUCGCGGCCUAUCAGCUUGUUGGUGGGGUAAUGGCCUACCAAGGCGGCGACGGGUAGCCGGCCUGAGAGGGUGGACGGCCACAUUGGGACUGAGAUACGGCCCAGACUCCUACGGGAGGCAGCAGUGGGGAAUAUUGCACAAUGGGCGCAAGCCUGAUGCAGCGACGCCGCGUGGGGGAUGACGGCCUUCGGGUUGUAAACUCCUUUCGCUAGGGACGAAGCUUUUUGUGACGGUACCUAGAGAAGAAGCACCGGCUAACUACGUG
rnacentral:rRNA from 1 species